rnacentral:lncRNA from 1 species
GAGAAAGAGGCAGCAAGGACCCGCAGCGGGGGCCAGGAGGGGCCCAUCAGUACCAGGACCCAGUGGGGCUCCAGGGUGCCCCGUGAGGAGGGGGCAGCACUGGAUCAACCACACCAGGCCCUUCAAAACCCAAAUACCACUGAGGAAGGGGGCACAUGAAAAGUGUGGUCAGUACUCCACUGGAAAAGAAAAUUUCAGGGUGCUCCCCCACACUCUACCCCAAAGCCAGACUUUGUUUCUCUUCCUAGGACUUCUCACCACCAGAAAGCUUAUUGUACCUUGUACAUGGGUCUCACCCCACCCUGCACCUCUGCCAACAAAAGGAGAGGAGUGGGCAGUAGCAGAGGAAGGAAUACCGACCCCUCCCCAAGACACGGACUCUCAC